GCCCCGCUAGCUCAGGGGAUAGAGCAGCAGUUUCCUAACUGCGUGUCGCUGGUUCGAUUCCAGCGCGGGGCA
rnacentral:tRNA from 1 species